UCCGGUGUAGCUCAGUUGGCAGAGCAGAUGACUGUUAAUCAUCGGGUCGCAGGUUCGAGUCCUGCCGCCGGAGCCA
rnacentral:tRNA from 1 species